UGGGGAAUAUUGGACAAUGGGCGAAAGCCUGAUCCAGCCAUGCCGCGUGUGUGAAGAAGGUCUUCGGUUUGUAAAGCACCUUAAGCUGUGCGGAAGGGCAGUAAGCGAAUACCUUGCUGCUUUGACGUUACCGACAGAAUAAGCACCGGCUAACUCUGUGCCAGCAGCCGCGGUAAUACAGAGGGUGCAAGUGUUAAUCGGAAUUACUGGGGGUAAAGCGCGCGUAGGUGGUUCGUUAAGUUGAAUGUGAAAGCCGCGGGCUCAACCUGGGAACUGCAUCCAAAACUGGCGAGCUAGAGGAGGGCUGAGGGUGGUGGAGUUUCCUGUGUAGCGGUGAAAUGCGGAGAUAUAGGAAGGAACAACAGUGGCGAGGGCGACCACCUGGGCUCAUAAUGACACUGAGGUGCGAAAGAGUGAGGGGCAAACAGG
rnacentral:rRNA from 1 species